rnacentral:rRNA from 1 species
UACGAAGGGGGCUAGCGUUGCUCGGAAUCACUGGGCGUAAAGGGUGCGUAGGCGGGUCUUUAAGUCAGGGGUGAAAUCCUGGAGCUCAACUCCAGAACUGCCUUUGAUACUGAAGAUCUUGAGUCCGGGAGAGGUGAGUGGAACUGCGAGUGUAGAGGUGAAAUUCGUAGAUAUUCGCAAGAACACCAGUGGCGAAGGCGGCUCACUGGCCCGAUACUGACGCUGAGGUGCGAAAGCGUGGGAGCAACAGGGAUUAAGAU